UUCAUCUUCCGUUGACCUUUUUUCUUUUUCUCUUUUUCCGCCCUUUGUCUUAUUCUCCUUUUGGCAUGUUUCUCUUUCUCCGUCUGCCAUGAAUCCCACUGGUUCUACACCUGUUGAUCCCUUGGCUCCCAUGGAUCAUUCUACUCCAGUUGAUUCUCCCGAUCUUCCUUCUUCGUCUACUCAGAUUAACAAUGCUGCUGUUGCAAAUCCUGUUACUCAAGUCCUGACGGAGGAUAAUUAUACUUCUUCGAGUAGAUCUAUGUUGAUUCCGUUAUCUGUCAAAAAUAAGCUAGGUUUUAUCGACGAUACGAUUACCAAAUUAAACCUACUGGCGAUUUACUUUCUGCUUGGAUACGCAACAAUCAUGUGAUCAUUGCUUGGAUCCUAAAUUCAGUGUCUAAGGAGAUUUCGACAAGCAUUCUUUUUACUAAAUCCGCUCGAGAUAUAUGGCAGGAUCUCAAGGAGCGUUUUCAAAAGAGCAACGAGCCUCGAAUAUAUCAACUGAAGCGCGAUGUUGCCAACCUUCAUCAAGAUCAACAGUCGAUUACUCUCUAUUUUACAAAACUCAAGACUACUUGGGAUGAGUUGAACCAGUAUCGUCCAGUAUGAACUUGUUUGUGUACUUGCGGUGGUGCUAAGUCUGCAUCUGAAUUUCUUCAGUUCGAAUAUGAUAGAAUUUUCUUAUAGGACUUAAUGAGUCCUAUGCAUCCACUCAUACUCAAAUAUUGCUGAUGGAUCCUCCUCCUCUUGUGAACAAAGCGUUUUCGCUUGUACAUCAAGAAGAAUAGCAGCGUGCAAUUGGUACCAUGUCUGUACCUCUUAAUGCUUCUUCAAAUGUGCAGUCGUCCUUUGCUCUCACUGUCCAGAAUUCCUCUGCUUCUGGCAAGGCUGUUAAGUCUCAUGUGUCUUUUAAGUCGAGCCUAGAUCUGUCUACACUCACUAUGGCCUCCCGGAUACAAGUCGCAAGGUCAAUGUAAUUCUGUUAAUUCUCAGAAUAAAUGGGCUAAUUCGGUUUCUUCUCCAAAUGUUUCACAAAUUUCUCCAUGGAUGACAAGCUCGAGGUCUUCCUCUGGUAGUCCAUCAGUGUCAACACUUGCUAACUUUGCUGCAAUCUCAACGUGCAUCUAAGGCUCUCGUUGAUACAAAGACUUUCAUAUGGCAAGUAUCCCUGAAUCUUGGAUUUUAGAUUCUGGUGCUUCUGUGCACAUUUGCCAUUCGAGGAGACAUUCCCAACAUUUCAAUCAUAUUUUCUAAUGAGGCAUGUGUUAUUCAGGACAAAUUCACUUCGGGGAUGAUUGUCAAGGGUAGCUUGAAGAAUGACUUGUUUCUCUUUGGUGUAUUACCACAACCACAUAUUGUGUGUCUCUCAUCCUUUACUGUUUCUGCUGAUACUUGGCAUUAUCGUUUAGGACAUCUUGCUUACAGUUGUUUAAAUGCCUUUAAAGAUGUUUUGUCUUUUGCUACAUGCUCAUAUUCUCUUUUUUAUUCAUGUACAGUUUGUCCUUUAGCCAAGCAGAAAUGUUUGUCUUUUCAUUCUAAUAAAACAAUAUAUGCUAGGCCGUUUGAUCUUAUACAUGCUGAUGUUUGGGUCCCUUUACCCAUCCGAUGCAUAAUGGAUAUUGUUUUUUCUUUAACUAUUGUGGAUGAUUGAACUCGUUACACUUGGAUAUUUCUUCUCAAACAUAAGUCUGACGUUAUCACUGUUGUUCCUCAUUUUUUUUACCUAUGUGGAGACUCAGUUUAAUGUUAGUAUUAAGAAUUUUCGGUAUGACAACACCCCUGAACUACAUUUUAAGGAUUUUUUUUUGUCCAAGGGAGUUGUUCAUCAAUUUUCUUGUGUCGGGAGGCCUGAACAAAACUCUGUGGAAGAAAGGAAGCACCAACAUAUCCUUAAUGUGGCUAGAGCUCUUUAUUUUCAAUCUUGGAUUCCCAUUUCUUUCUGCGGUGAAUGCAUUUUGACUGCUGUCUUCCUCAUAAAUAGGACUCCUUCUCCUGUUUUGGCUUGGAAGUCCCCUUAUUCUUGUCUUUACAAGCAUGACCAUAAUUAUUCUACCAUUCGAGUUUUUGGCUCUCCUUGUUAUGCCUCUACGUUUACUGCACAUUGUACUCAGUUUGAGCCUCGUACUUAUCAAGUUGUGUUUAUAUUGGUUAUCCUCCGAGAAUGAAAUGCUACAAGCUCUAUGAUAUUCAACAUAAUUGGUUCUUUGUUUCAAGGGAUGUUGUUUUUCGUGAAGGAACUUUUCCUUUCCUUCGUUCACCUUCAAUUGGUGUGUUGUCUGGCCCGUUUCCAGAGUUGGUCUUGCACAGGGCUUUUGAUUUUCAAGGGGAUGUUGUUCCUUCUAUGGUUCCUACCACAGUUGUUUUUUAUAAUGCUCCUGCGGCGCCUAUGGAUUCUGUUGUUGUUCCUAUGGCUAUUAUGGAUUCUAUUGACAUCAAUAAUAUUCAUACUGCUAUUGGUUCAGUUGAUGUUGAUCCCCUUGCUCCUAGUCCAUCUAUUGUUGCUAAUACUAGUGUGGCUGCACCUGAUACUUUUACUACUAUUGUUCAGCAAGCUAGUAUUUGAAGGACUACUCGGACUACUAAGCCUCCCUCUUAUUUACGGGAUUAUCAUUGUGCAGUUUUGUAGCAUUCUAUUUCUACUUCUGUGUUCACUAAACAUCAUUUGUAGCAACAUGUGGAUUAUUCUAGACUGUUUUUCAGUCAUCGCUUGUUUGCUCUCAAUGUUUCCGCCGCUUAUGAGCAUCUCUUUUAUCAUGAGGCGGUGGUUCACCCACAAUAGUGUGAGGCUAUGGCUGCUGAACUCUGAGCAAUGGAAGUGAAUAACACUUAGUCAGUAGUUUCACUACCGCCUUUCCAACAUACUAUUGGUUGUCGUUAGGUUUACAAAAUCAAGUAUCAUUCAAAUGACAAUAUUGAGCGGUACAAGGCUCGUUUGGUUGCCAAGGGAUAUACGCAACCAGAAGGUUAGAUUUUGUUUAAACCUUUUCUUCUGUUGCUAAAAUGGUCACCAUUAAGGUCUUUUUAACAUUUGUUGUAUCUAAUGCUUGGCCAUUGGUACUGUUGGAUGUAAAUAACACCUUUCCGCAUGGGGACUUGUUUGAAGAAGUAUAUAUAGAUUUACCUUUAGGCUAUCGUCCUCCUACUGUGGCUAUUCGACAGGGGGAAUGUUUAGUCUGUCGCCUAACAAGUCUAUAUACGGGUUAAACAAGCCUCUAGGCAAUGGUUUGCCAAGUUCUCCUCUACUUUGCUUCUUAUAGGAUUUCAUCAAUCAAAAUCUGAUUAUUCCUUAUUUGUCAGAGGCAGUGGUUCAACUUUUAUUGCUUAUUGCUUUAUUAGUCUACGUGGAUGACAUAAUCAUUGUUGGGGCUAAUCUUGAUGAUAUUAAGGCGUUGCUCAGUGAUCGUUUUAAGCUUAAGUAUCUUGGAUCUCUUCAGUUUUUCCUUGGCUUAGGAAUCGCUCGUACUUCUCGGGGUAUAUGUUUGUCUCAACGACAUUACAAACUGUCUUUGUUGGAAGAGGUUGGAUCACUCGGUUGCAAGCCGACUUCUGCUCCUGUGGAUUCAUCUAUCAAACUUCAUGCUUCUUAUGGUGAUCUCUGUUAGUUAACUCAAAGCUACAAAUACAAAGUUUGAAUGUUAGUUUUGAAUUGGUUUGGUCAAAGACCUAGUUUUUAGGAAGUUGUUGACAUUCCUUUUUUAGCUGUAGUCAAGUCUAAGUUCCUAUUCUUAUGGGUUAGUUGAGUAGCUAAUUAUGUGGAGAUAGUUAUGUUUAUUUUUAGUAUCAUAGUAUGUAUUUAUAUGGAGCACUAAUGAAUGAAAUUAUUACUUCCCCCACUUUCUUAUUUCUCUCUCAAUAAGUACAUCAACAAUCUCUCAUAUGAUCCUACAGUUUAUCGUUGCUUAGUCGGUCGUUUGUUAUAUCUCACUAUACCCAGACCGGAUAUAACUUUUGCUCUGAAUCGCCUAAGUCAAUUUGUUUCUAAGCCUUAUACUUCACAUCUGAAAGCUACUCAUUUUUUGCUUCGGUAUCUUAAAGGCUCACUUGAUCAGGGUAUUUUUUUUAUCAACAUCUAAUUCUUUUCGACUUCAGGCUUUUGUUGAUGCUGACUGGGGAUCUUGCCUUGGCACUCGAUGCUCCACUACUGGCUUCUAUGUGUUUUUGGGUUCGUCUUCGAUUUCUUAGAAGUCAAAGAAACAAGUCACAAUAUCUCAUUCAUUAGUAGAAGUGGAAUAUAGAGCGAUGGCAGCUGCUACUUGCGAAUUGAUUUGGAUUUCUAAUAUGCUUUCUGAUCUGCAAGUUAAAUUUUCUCGUCAUGUCUUUUUUUUGUGAAAAUCUUGCAGCCAUUUAUACUGCCUCGAAUCCCAUAUUUCACGAGCGGACAAAAUACAUUGAGCUGAUGUUUGCCUCCCAUUCGUGAUCGGGUUCAAGAUGGCUUUCUUCGUUUGCCUCCCAUUCGGUCUGCAUCGAUCACAAUUAGCUGAUGUUUUUACAAAGCCAAUUUCUGCUGCUGUCUUACUUACCUUAUUGUCCAAGAUGGGUUACUGGACUUCCAUCAUCCAUCUUGAGGGGGAGUAUUAGACUCAUUGUAUAUUUUGUUAUUUUGGUUUGUUAUUAUACAUAACUGCUUGUUAGUUUUAGUUAGUUAAAUGCCCAAAUCUCCCGGUAUAGUUUCAGUUAGUUAAAUGCCCCAAAUCUCUUUGUAGUUCAGUUAGUUAGAAGCCCUAAGUCUCUCUGUGUUCGUUCUCUAUUUAAAGUAGUCUUGUACAUUACAUUCAUGAGAAAAACAUAGAAUUAUCAUUUUCUCUACA